rnacentral:rRNA from 1 species
AUUGAACGCUGGCGGCAUGCCUUACACAUGCAAGUCGAACGGUAACAGAUCUUCGGAUGCUGACGAGUGGCGAACGGGUGAGUAAUACAUCGGAACGUGCCUAGUAGUGGGGGAUAACUACUCGAAAGAGUGGCUAAUACCGCAUGAGAUCUACGGAUGAAAGCAGGGGAUUGCAAGACCUUGUGCUACUAGAGCGGCCGAUGGCAGAUUAGGUAGUUGGUGGGAUAAAAGCUUACCAAGCCGACGAUCUGUAGCUGGUCUGAGAGGACGAUCAGCCACACUGGGACUGAGACCCGGCCCAGACUCCUACGGGAGGCAGCAGUGGGGAAUUUUGGACAAUGGGCGCAAGCCUGAUCCAGCAAUGCCGCGUGCAGGAUGAAGGCCUUCGGGUUGUAAACUGCUUUUGUACGGAACGAAAAGCCCUGGGUUAAUACCCUGGGGUCAUGACGGUACCGUAAGAAUAAGCACCGGCUAACUACGUGCCAGCCGCCGCUGUAAAAC